rnacentral:piRNA from 1 species
UACUUUUAAAACUGCACAUUUUCUA